GUUAAUAGCUAUUAAAAUUCACCCUAUAUUGAAUACCAUUCCCUAAAUUCAGGUUAUAAGCAAUUUUAGUUCAGAAAUUAAAUUUCUUUUUUUUUUAAUUAGAGGUUUCUGUAGUAACAUAGAUAACAAAAAAAUGGAAUCCAUGUAAUGGUGUGGGGGUAUCUAUGAAAAAAUAUAUUUAUUCAUUUUUAAUGUACAAUCUAUUCUAUCUGAACAUUUAUCCAGUUUUGAUUAUGUUGAGUGAGUUUUUUGAGAAGUUUGUCAUUGCUGUUAGUUCAGUGCAAUUAAGUUCAUCAAAAUACCACCAAUUAGACGUACCAACCAGUGGUUGCGAUUUGAGAGGAAUGUGUGGUGGUGAUUAAAUAAAUGCUAAAUGAUAAUAUUUUUUUUUUAUUGUAUGGUUGCUAUUAGUUUCAGAUUAAAUUAAUAGUAUAUUGGUUACUAUUGAAUAAUCAGACAUGUUUUUUGAUUUGUAUUAUUUGUUUUCAAUAAUAUAUUUAGUAAUAAUUGUAAUGAUGACUGAGAUUUGAAUUUGAUGCCAUUGCACUAAUAUUAUAAAUGUUGUCUUUAUAUACUCUAUAGACAAAAAUGUAAAAGGUUGAUUAAAACAUAUUUAUGGUAAUUAAUAACGCACAAGAUAGCAAAUAAAAUCUAUAAAAAACUGUUUGCAUGAAUGUAUAACCAUACAUUACUUACUAGCUGUGGAGCAGGAGAAAUGGUCUUAUCAAUGAUAUCAACUAAUCUACCAUUCCAGUUUAAAUAGCUCAAAUUUCCCGUGAAAAUAUGUU